AGUAGCUAAAGCCAAACACAGUGUUGAAAUCUGGAUUGGCACUCAGAGGACUGUGAACAGAUGCUGAUAAUGAGUUUCCAGAUAACAGACACUCUUAUGAAUGUGUCUUUUCGAGCUUGAAUGGGUUUUUAUCUCGCUGUUAGUUUUGGAUAUUAAGCAAACAGUAAUGCGCUUAUGUUACGUGCAGAACCAGUCGACUGAGUGUGUCGCUGUUUGUCAGUAAAAGGUUUCUCGCACCCUUCCGGGCUGUUGGGAAAGUGGGCCGCGAGGGAAGCUAAUGCACUGUGAGGGUCAAGCUUCACUGACCGUCUCCAUUUUGAAACCCUGCCUUUGGUUUCUUUGGCCUCCUGGCCAGGUUUAGAGCACCGAGAUGUACUGCGAGAUUGUGUCGUGCUCAGAAGACCCGAUGGAUACACAGAUUGAAACUUAACUCUUUCUCUGGGUAAGGGUCAAGGAAUCAAGUCUGUGGUUAAAUCUUUAAAAAAAAUUAAGACAUCAGAGCUUAGAUAAUAAGACUCCGUGUGCAGCCGCGCAAAAAUGUCUGAUAUAUAUAGGUAUUUUCUAUUCAGACACACAAGCACACACCUGGUUUAUGAGACAUAGUGUAAUAUAUUUUGGAUUUAGUUGAAAAAUUAUAUG